UUGUAUCUUUAUCGAAAAUGGCAGACGAUCCAAGUGGCAGCGUUUGUCCAGCAGACGCCGUUAAAGAUUGUCAUUCCAUCUCAGUUUAGCGCGUAAGGAGUAAUUCUAUAGAGCGAGACGUCUACAGUGUUCAGGCUCACCUACGUUCUGGCCGCCGUAAUUAUAAUUAAAAAAUGUACAGUAUUUCAUCAAUAUUUAAUAUUUUUUACGGAAAUAAGUACCUACUAUACAAAAAAAAAGACGCCUAAUCUUCUUCAUCCCUGGUUUCGUGAUAUUGUGGAUCUUCAUCACGUUCAUCUAAAAGUACCUACAUUAAUAUCUUUAUUUGUCUAAGAAAAUUUCCUACCUGCAAUAUAAUAUUUUUAAUAAACACUCAAAGUUGGGACAUCCCACCUAUACUUACCUCGCUUUUUUUAUUUCAGUUUUUUUUUCUUUUUCCGUAUUAUUACUCAAAUAAAUAAAAUCCGUCUAUUACCGAAAGAUUUCGUGCCAGAGACUCGGGCAAUUUUUGGCAGAGAUGCCGAAUAAGCAUUACCGGACCUGACCAGAUAAGACCUACCGAUUUAUUGAAGGCACUAGAACAGAUAAAUUCAAAUCCUCGUUAGUCGAAUUUCUAGUGCAGGAAUGGUGCCAAGAUCAUUAUGCCACUAUUUUGGGGGACAAAAUUAAUAAUAUAUUAAUAAUAAAUUGUAACGAUAUAUGAAUAUGAUACAAAAUAUAGUAACGAAAAUGGAUUUAUGUUCUAAGAAAUUAAAGAAGAACUAA